UCUAUCCAUCUAUAGACACCUAUAUAUGGUGUAUGCUUCAUUUGAAUAUCUGAAGAGCUAAAAGUUGUAAAGGAGUUGUGAGAAUUUCAUGUUAAACGGCUUCUAUUUUGUGAAGCUCCAAUGGAAAGUUUCAAUAAUUUUUAAGAGAUGAAAAUUUUGUAGGGUUUUCAGCGAAUUUCACAUCUUCCUUUCAAUUUUCAUCGGACUUGAAUGUUAUUUUCAUCUGACAUGAUCACUAUUCAGCAUCAGUCUAUGGAAUCUUGUGAGUUGGAAGAUUACUGUGUCUCCAUCGUUAGGAGAAUCAAGGAAUUUUAUCGUUGGCCUGGAGAUAUAAGGGAGCUUCUGAUGUAUCUGAAGCAUGCGAUGGAUUCCAAAGAUUCAGAUCUUAAUUCCAUCUCCACGCAAUCAGAAGGAAUUGAAGAUGAGAUGAAAGCAGCUGCACAAGAUAUUGCCAGUUAUCAGGUUUCUUUUUUAGGAUGCAGUUUCUGGGUUUAUUUUUCUCUUUUUUUUGUCGUUACAAACAUAAAAACACAACACUUAAAUAUAAUAGUGUAACACCCCGCAUCGUCCAUGCGUUAGCUUGAGGUAGCAUGCUCCUAGGUUAAAUGGCUAGAAUAGUAUCUAAGAGACAGCCUCAUGUCGUUGACUUUCAAAGUGAGUAAAGUUUAAACCAUAUACAAUUUCCCUAAU